rnacentral:rRNA from 1 species
AGAGUUUGAUCAUGGCUCAGGAUGAACGCUAGCGGCAGGCCUAAUACAUGCAAGACGAACGGUAAGUUGAGUAGCAAUACUUAGCCAAGAGUGUCGUACGGGUGCGUAACACGUAUGCAACCUACCCUAUACAGGAGGAUAGCCUAGGGAAACCUGGAUUAACCCUUCAUAGUAUUAUUGGACGGCAUCAUUUGAUAAUUAAAACUGAGGUGGUAUAGGAUGGGGCAUGCGUCUGAUUAGUUAGUUGGCGGGGUAAUGGCCCACCAAGACGAUGAUCAGUAGGGGGUUCUGAGAGGAAGAUCCCCCACACUGGCACUGAGAUACGGGCCAGACUCCUACGGGAGGCAGCAGUAGGGAAUAUUGGUCAAUGGAUGCAAGUCUGAACCAGCCAUGCCGCGUGCAGGAAGAAGGCCUUCUGGGUUGUAAACUGCUUUUGCCAGGGGAUAAAAUUUCCAUGCGUGGAAAACUGAAGGUACCUGGUGAAUAAGCCACGGCUAACUACGUG